UGGGGAAUUUUGGACAAUGGGCGAAAGCCUGAUCCAGCAAUGCCGCGUGUGUGAAGAAGGCCUUCGGGUUGUAAAGCACUUUUGUCCGGAAAGAAAUCCUUGGCUCUAAUACAGUCGGGGGAUGACGGUACCGGAAGAAUAAGCACCGGCUAACUACGUGCCAGCAGCCGCGGUAAUACGUAGGGUGCAAGCGUUAAUCGGAAUUACUGGGCGUAAAGCGUGCGCAGGCGGUUUGCUAAGACCGAUGUGAAAUCCCCGGGCUCAACCUGGGAACUGCAUUGGUGACUGGCAGGCUAGAGUAUGGCAGAGGGGGGUAGAAUUCCACGUGUAGCAGUGAAAUGCGUAGAGAUGUGGAGGAAUACCGAUGGCGAAGGCAGCCCCCUGGGCCAAUACUGACGCUCAUGCACGAAAGCGUGGGGAGCAAACAGGAUUAGAUACCCUGGUAGUCCACGCCCUAAACGAUGUCAACUAGUUGUUGGGGAUUCAUUUCCUUAGUAACGUAGCUAACGCGUGAAGUUGACCGCCUGGGGAGUACGGUCGCAAGAUUAAAACUCAAAGGAAUUGAUGGGGUCAUAGCUGUUUCCU
rnacentral:rRNA from 1 species